CUACGGAGGGUGCAAGCGUUAUUCGGAAUCACUGGGCGUAAAGGACGCGUAGGCGGGUUGGCAAGUCAGAUGUGAAAUCCUACAGCUUAACUGUAGAACUGCAUUUGAAACUGCUAACCUAGAGUAUGGGAGGGGGAGAUGGAAUUAGUGGUGUAGGGGUAAAAUCCGUAGAUAUCACUAGGAAUACCGAAAGCGAAGGCGAUCUCCUGGAACAUAACUGACGCUAAGGCGUGAAAGCGUGGGGAGCAAACAGGAUUAGAUACCCCAGUAGUCC
rnacentral:rRNA from 1 species